GCCCAGAGGGGCGGCGGGCGGGAGUCAGCCAGCCUGGGGCGUGGGCUGACGCGACAAUAGACCUCUGCGAUCCUAGAGCCCCCCCCCGGCCCCCGACUCCAUUCUCCAAGCUGUGGGCUGUUCCCGGCCCUCUCAGUUCCGCGCUGCCCCUUAAAAGCUGGGGCCCAGGCACAGGAACGACAGGCGUUGCAGCCAAUGGCGUCCCGCACGGUAAACCUGCUACCCAAUCAAAAGGCGCGGCUGCGAGGGAACGGCGUGGAACCACGCCCGGCUCCAGGUGACUCCUUGUCGAGAACGAGAGUGAUGGAGGAGCACCUAGAGGCUGGGAAGGAGAGCAAGCCCUCCUCCUUGUCCCCGGACCUGCAGGGAGACAGCUCGUUACAGGUGGAGAUCUCUGAUGCCGUCAGCGAGCGGGACAAGGUGAAAUUCACUGUUCAAACCAAGAGCUGCGUCCCUCACUUCGCCCGGACCGAGUUCUCAGUCGUGCGACAUCAUGAGGAGUUCAUCUGGCUACACAACGCCUACGUGGAAAACGAGGAGUACGCCGGUCUCAUCAUCCCCCCAGCCCCUCCAAGGCCAGACUUUGAGGCUUCAAGGGAAAAACUGCAGAAGUUGGGUGAGGGAGACAGCUCUAUCACGCGGGAAGAGUUUGCCAAAAUGAAGGAGGAGCUGGAAGCGGAGUAUCUGGCCAUCUUUAAGAAGACAGUUGCGAUGCAUGAAGUCUUUCUGCAGCGCCUGGCGGCCCACCCCACCCUGCGUCGAGACCACAACUUCUUUGUCUUUUUGGAAUAUGGCCAGGAUCUGAGUGUCCGAGGAAAGAACAGGAAGGAGCUCCUUGGGGGGUUUCUGAGGAAUAUUGUGAAGUCUGCAGAUGAAGCCCUCAUCACUGGCAUGUCAGGGCUCAAGGAGGUGGAUGACUUCUUCGAGCAUGAGAGGACCUUCCUGCUGGAGUACCACACCCGCAUCCGGGACGCCUGCCUUCGGGCAGACAGAGUCAUGCACUCUCACAAGUGCCUGGCAGAUGAUUAUAUCCCUAUCUCAGCUGCACUGAGCAGUCUGGGAACACAAGAAGUCAACCAGCUAAAGACGAGCUUCCUCAAAUUGGCAGAGCUCUUUGAACGACUAAGGAAACUGGAGGGCCGAGUGGCUUCUGACGAGGACCUGAAGCUGUCGGACAUGCUGAGGUACUACUUGCGCGACUCACAGGCAGCCAAGGUGAGAGGUGGCCCCAGAGCAGACCUCAGGGCUGGAGCCACCAGGGAGGGCGGGCAGGUAGGCAAGGGCCUGGGCCAGGGAUCCUGUGCCCCUGCCGGCCCCAGGACCUGCUGUACCGGCGGCUGCGGGCGCUGGCAGACUAUGAGAACGCCAACAAGGCACUGGACAAGGCGCGCACCAGGAACCGGGAGGUGCGGACCGCCGAGAGCCACCAGCAGCUGUGCUGCCAGCGCUUUGAACGCCUCUCCGACUCAGCCAAGCAGGAGCUCAUGGACUUCAGAUCCCGCCGCGUCUCCUCCUUCCGCAAGAACCUCAUCGAGCUGGCGGAGCUGGAGCUCAAACACGCUAAGGCCACCACCCUGCUUCUACGGAACACCCUUGUCAUCCUCAAGGGGGAACCUUAGAGCCACCAGAGUGCCCCCCGACCUCCCACCCCAGCAAGAUGCCUCCUUCCCCACCCCAGGAGCCACUCACCAUGCCCCGUGACUUCUCGGGGCAAGGCCUACCCCUACCCCAAGGUGCCAGGCCCUGCAAGAUAGGGCAGCAUGGGCACCACACUUGGCCACAGGGCAACACUUCCACCCUACCUGCAGGGCAGGUGAAAACCCAAAGCACAGGGCUGGAAAAGAGCCCACAGCAAUGCCAGGAAGAAGCGUGGGGCUCCAGCCAACACUCUCUUGGUUAAACACAGGAAGGUGGAGCCCAAGACACCUGGGUCUGAAGUCCUGGACUCCACCUGGCUGGCCCCACCCUGGCCCCCAGCCACAUCUGCAGAAGGCCAAAGACUCAACCUGGCUUUGGACUCACAGCAGCCACUGGACCCAGCCCUUAUAAAUGAGUCAGCCAUCCAGGGGAGAGAGCAGAGCCAAAGACCAAAUACUGAAAGUGGAGAAAAAGGUCAAGAAGCAACCAGUAACUUGCAGUCUCGGGGCCCACAUCUGGGCAAGACUGCACAGGGGAUCACAGAAUGGGCCUCACUGUCCUACUGCCCACCUGGGUCAAGGCAACAGAAGAAACCAGUUCAGGGAUUAAGCCCCUCUGUUCAAGGAACCCCUGCAGCCAGUAGCAGACACACCCUGGCUCAGCUACCUUCCAGGCUGGUGCCAACUAUGACGCCAGGAUAUAGAGAGGGAACUGUCAGAAAGGAGACUCAGCUAGUCACUGGCGCCAAAUGAGGGUGUGUGGGGCUGGCUGGAAGGAGGGUUAGGGAAGAGAUGCUACACAUUCUCCCAGCCUACCCGCCCCCAAGGUCCCCUGGGCCCCAACCUCCAAACAAACAUCCCAUUAGUGAGCCUUUUUAUUGUUGUGUGUUUUUUUUGUUUUUUUAAUUGAGGGUCCCUUACUGGUCCUGCUUCCAUGAGUGGCUGUGACCAGGGGCAAGGGGGAGGGGAACCAGGUGGCGCAGGGAGGGGUCAUCUCCACAACAUUCCAUUUAUACACAGAACUAAACAGACAAGCACAGAGUCACUAUUGUGGUUAGAAGUUGGCAGCAUGGGAAAAGGGAGGAACAAGGGGGGAACUGGGGUGUCGUUAAAAAAAAUACAGGUCCCCCCCAAACAGGGGUUCCUGGGGGGAACUUGGUCUGUUUCAACCCAAGAGGAAUCAGAAGAUCAAAAGCGGUUUGGGAAGGCCAGAACCGUCAGGGAUGGAGGAAGAGGAGGAAGGUCCAGGGGGUGGGGGGGCUGUUUGGCAACUGGGGUGAAGGGACUGCCCUCCCCCUGCUGGGUUCCCCCCAGCCCCUCCGGUCUGGCAGGAAGGGGGCAGCCUGCAACCCCCAUGGGCAGGUCUGGGGCUGCCAGAUGCUCCAGGCAGGGGGCUGGAGGGGGCUCACAAAGGCUUGCCCUCCAGAGAGAUGACGGCGCUGCCCCCCAGCUUCUCUGCCAGGGUGCAGCGGUCCUUGACCUCCUCAUAGCAGUUUGCUUGCAAUUCAUGCUUGAU